GUUUAUACUGAUUAUACUUAUAGCUCUACCAGUUGAUUAUCAUCAUCAUCAUAGAUAAUAAUCUAGACUAGUAUUCUAGAUCUAUAAUAAAUAAUCAUAGUCACCGUGAUAGUGACCUUUUUAGUCAAUGUAGUCAAGUCAAGAUAGUGGAACGUAAACUCGAAGGUUUAAUACAAUACAGUAUAAGUAGAGUCUAUGAUUAUUAACAAGUAGAACCAUGCCAACCAGUUCUGAUGAUGUACCAGAAUGGCUCAAGGAUCAUACUUAUACUAUUUCUACUCUCUGGGCAGACAUUAAUAAUAUUGGCAUCCAUUCAAUAUUUAUUUUAUGUUUGGAAAUACAAGUAAAAGGCAUGCAUUCCUGACAAGUCAAUGACUGGUUGCACCUCUUAAAGAUAACUUUCUGUUAUGAGAAAAGAUGAGAUUCUUGGACUCCUGCAUAGCACCACCAGAAAGGAAAAUCCCAUCAUGUUGCAAAAUAAAAGUCUUGGACCAAUUUUAAUUUAAGAUAUAUAUAUUAUACUGUAAGCUCUAUGCAUAUUUAUGUAUAUCCGUCAUUCAGCCAACAGGUUUGGAUUUAGUAUUUCUUUAAAUCUGUUUGAUAUUGUACUUGAAAACUAUUAAUCUGAGCCACAUUAAAACAAUAGUGAGUGCAGUGAAUGAGUGGUAAAGCACUUGGCUUCUGAACUGAGUGUUCCUGGGUUCGAUUAAGACUGGGAUUUUCAAUUUCAGAAUUCAAAAGGCUGGGGAUCCAUGGUUGAAUGGUUAAGUCAUGGGUUUGAAUCUCUGUGAAGACUCAGAUUAAAAUUUUUUAGAUUUUUGGGUGCCCCUGAGUCCACCUAACUCUAAUGGGUAGCUGACUUUCGUUUUGGAUAGUAAAGAUGGUUGGUUGUUGUGCUGGCCACAUGAUGCACUGGCCAAAGAAUCAAAUGACCUUAACAUCAUCUGCCCUAUAGGUUGUGACGUCUGAAAUGGGAUUUUUUUUUCAAAAAAUGGUUGAUUGUUGUGCUGGGUACAUGACACCCUCGCUAACCAUGGGGCACAGAAACUGAUAAACUUUAUAUCAUCUGCCCCAUAGAUUGCAAGAUAUGUAAGGGAAAUUUUACUUUUUUAAAAUUAAAAUAAGAAUCUAUCAAAAGUAAACAUAAAAUAUGGUGCAUUCUCCUUAAAACUAAAACCUGGUGCGAAGGUUUAAAAUGUUGGCAAAAAAAAGCAACAUCAUAUAUUCUUAAUUCCCUUUGCAAAACUUACUGAGAAGAACAUGCAUGUUGUUCCCUCAUAAGUUUCUUGACAGAGGAAAUCUUGUUUAUAUUAGAUUUGAAUUAAGCAAAUUAAGAAAAAAAUUAUAAUCAAUUUUUCAAAUGGUUGUAUCUAAACCUUAUGAAUUAUUUUUCAGUUAUAAGUAUAUUGAGAUUAAUGGAUAAUCAUGAAAUUGUUAAAUAAUUGCUGCUAUCAUUCCAUUGACUAAAGAACCAUAAUUUUUUUUUUUUUAAAUUAAUUUCAAAAUGAUUUUUUUCAAGCAUAGAGUUCACAUAGAUCUUGAGUGAAUUUUUUUUUUUAUUUGACUAAUGCUUCAAUUUUAUUGUAUCAUAUUAGUUGUUAAUUUUUAUUACCCAGAAUAUUUAAAAAAAUGAGUACACUAUUUUCAUGUAAUAAUGUAACUUGGUAUUCACACAAUGCUCAAAAUACACCAUAAUCUUUAGGCCAUACAGAUUUGUAUAAAUUAACUUGUUUAAAUACAUUGUAAAUGUAUAUUGUUUGGAUAAGAAUAAAGUUUUUCUGUAGACAAUUAUUGUUCAAGAUUUGUUGAUGCUCCUGCUUAAUCAAUUAUAUAUACAGGUCAUUAGUUUUAACACGUCUGAUAAUAAAUGACAGUACAAGUUAGUGAAUGAAAAUUUGUCAUUAUUUCAGCUGCUUUAGUCCUACAUCAAUGUAAGGUACCAGUACUUUGAUUGUGUCAUAUAACAAUUUAAAGCAACAUUUUGAAAUGAAUAGUCUGUAGAAUUGACAGUAAAUACAUUUAAGUGAUGGGCUGUGAUCUGCGUGAAUUGGGAGCUGAUCAUGUAUUGAAUUUGUGUUUUUGAUCUUUACUUCAAGUAAAUGUUAAUGAGCAAUUAAUUUUUAAUGAAUAAAUAAUUUAAAAAUAAAUACAAAAGAACCAUAAA